rnacentral:rRNA from 1 species
AUUGAACGCUGGCGGCAGGCCUAACACAUGCAAGUCGAACGAGUGGCGGACGGGUGAGUCAUGCAUGGGAAUCUCGCUUAUGGAGGGGGAUAACUACGGGAAACUGUAGCUAAUACCGCGUACCAUAGGAUGAGCCCAGGUGGGAUUAGGUUGUUGGUGAGGUAAAGGCUCACCAAGACGACGAUCUCGAGCUGGUCUGAGAGGAUGACCAGCCACACUGGGACUGAGACACGGCGCAGACGCCUACGGGAGGCAGCAGUGGGGAAUAUUGCACAAUGGGCGCAAGCCUGAUGCAGCCAAGCCGCGUGUAUGAAGAAGGCCUUCGGGUUGUAAAGUACUUUCAGUCGGGAGGCGUUACCGACAGAAGAAGCACCGGCUAACUCCGUGCCAGCAGCCGCGGUAAUUC